ACGCUCGACACCUACGGGAGGCAGCAGUGGGGAAUAUUGCACAAUGGGGGAAACCCUGAUGCAGCGACGCCGCGUGAGCGAAGAAGUAUUUCGGUAUGUAAAGCUCUAUCAGCAGGGAAGAAACUGACGGUACCUGACUAAGAAGCACCGGCUAAAUACGUGCCAGCAGCAGCGGUAAUCUGAGGCGGGCUGGCAAGGC
rnacentral:rRNA from 1 species